rnacentral:rRNA from 1 species
AGCCUUUCGGGUGAGUGUACCUUUCGAAUAAGCGCCGGCUAACUACGUGCCAGCAGCCGCGGUAAUACGUAGGGCGCAAGCGUUAUCCGGAAUUAUUGGGCGUAAAGAGCUUGUAGGCGGUUCGUCGCGUCUGGUGUGAAAGCCCAUCGCUUAACGGUGGGUUUGCGCCGGGUACGGGCGGGCUAGAGUGCAGUAGGGGAGACUGGAAUUCCCGGUGUAACGGUGGAAUGUGUAGAUAUCGGGAAGAACACCAAUGGCGAAGGCAGGUCUCUGGGCUGUUACUGACGCUGAGAAGCGAAAGCGUGGGGAGCGAACAGGAUUAGAUACCCUGGUAGUCCACGCCGUAAACGGUGGACGCUGGAUGUGGGGCCCAUUCCACGGGUUCUGUGUCGGAGCUAACGCGUUAAGCGUCCCGCCUGGGGAGUACGGCCGCAAGGCUAAAACUCAAAGAAAUUGACGGGGGCCCGCACAAGCGGCGGAGCAUGCGGAUUAAUUCGAUGCAACGCGAAGAACCUUACCUGGGCUUGACAUGUGCCUGUCGACUGCAGAGAUGUGGUUUCCCUUCGGGGCAGGUUCACAGGUGGUGCAUGGUCGUCGUCAGCUCGUGUCGUGAGAUGUUGGGUUAAGUCCCGCAACGAGCGCAACCCUCGCCCUGUGUUGCCAGCGGGUUAUGCCGGGAACUCACGGGGGACCGCCGGGGUUAACUCGGAGGAAGGUGGGGAUGACGUCAGAUCAUCAUGCCCCUUACGUCCAGGGCUUCACGCAUGCUACAAUGGCCGGUACAACGGGAUGCGACAUGGUGACAUGGAGCGGAUCCCUUAAAACCGGUCUCAGUUCGGAUCGUAGUCUGCAACUCGACUACGUGAAGGCGGAGUCGCUAGUAAUCGCGAAUCAGCAACGUCGCGGUGAAUGCGUUCCCGGGCCUUGUACACACCGCCCGUCAAGUCAUGAAAGUGGGCAGCACCCGAAGCCGGUGGCCUAACCCUUUUGGGAUGGAGCCGUCUAAGGUGAGGCU